UAAGUAGAACAGAUGAUCGCGGCUGUACAGACGAAAGGGUACAGACGAGGAAAGUCCGGGCUCCAUAGGGCAGGAUGCCGGAUAACGUCCGGUGGAGGCGACUCCAAGGCCAGUGCAAUAGAAAUAAUACCGCCCGAAGUUUUGCGAAGCAAUACUCCGGGUAAGGGUGGAAUGGCAGUGUAAGAGACUACCGCCGUCACGGUAACGGGACGGGCUGUGUAAACCCCAUCCGGAGCAAGACCAAACAGAGAGCGACAGGCCGGCCCGGUCUGCUUUCAGGUAGGUCGCUGGAGGGUCUCGGCGACGAGACUCCUAGAUAGAUGAUCAUUCACGACAUAACCCGGCUUACCGUUCUGCUUAUUUG
rnacentral:RNase_P_RNA from 1 species